AACGAACGCUGGCGGCAUGCCUAACACAUGCAAGUCGAACGAGACCUUCGGGUCUAGUGGCGCACGGGUGCGUAACGCGUGGGAACCUGCCCUUAGGUUCGGAAUAACUCCCCGAAAGGGGUGCUAAUACCGGAUAAUGUCUUCGGACCAAAGAUUUAUCGCCUUUGGAUGGGCCCGCGUUGGAUUAGCUAGUUGGUAGGCUAAAAGCCUACCAAGGCGACGAUCCAUAGCUGGUCUGAGAGGAUGAUCAGCCACACUGGGACUGAGACACGGCCCAGACUCCUACGGGAGGCAGCAGUGGGUAAUAUUGGACAGUGGGCGAAAGCCUGAUCCAGCACGGCCGCGUAAGUGAUGAAGGCCUUAGGGUUGUAAAGCUCUUUUACCCGGGAUGAUAAUGACAGUACCGGGAGAAUAAGCUCCGGCUAACUCCGU
rnacentral:rRNA from 1 species